rfam:Kockovaella imperatae strain NRRL Y-17943 BD324scaffold_10, whole genome shotgun sequence.
GGGGAAAUGGUUUAGGGGUAUAACGUGUCAUUAGCAUCUAAUGCGCUCAACUCCGAGUUGACAAGGUCCGGGGUUCGAUUCCCCGUUUCUCCA